GCCGAGGUGGCGGAACGGUAGACGCACAAGUUUCAAAAACUUGCGAGGGUAAUACCUCGUGGAGGUUCGACUCCUCUCCUCGGCA
rnacentral:tRNA from 1 species